rnacentral:lncRNA from 1 species
ACUACUAUUCAGGAAUGUAGUAAACUGUCUUUUUAUAGUUCAUUUAAAUUAACUUUUUAUAUUGAAAAAUAUCUGUCUUAUAGCAAUAAUGUUAGUCUGUUAACAAAAUUACGUAGUGGAACAUUAAAGUUAAAUAUUGAAGUUGGCCGUUAUAAUAAUAUUCCUAGAGAAAAUCGUUUAUGUGAAUGUUGUAAAAUGUGUGUUAUUGAAGAUGAAUACCAUUUUGUUCUUGUUUGUCCAGCUUAUAGAUCUGUAC